AGUGAACGCUGGCGGUAGGCCUAACACAUGCAAGUCGAACGGCAGCACAGUAAGAGCUUGCUCUUACGGGUGGCGAGUGGCGGACGGGUGAGGAAUACAUCGGAAUCUACUUUUUCGUGGGGGAUAACGUAGGGAAACUUACGCUAAUACAGCAUACGACCUACGGGUGAAAGCAGGGGAUCUUCGGGCCUUGCGCGUUUGAUUGAGCCGAUGUCGGAUUAGCUAGUUGGCGGGGUAAAGGCCCACCAAGGCGACGAUCCGUAGCUGGUCUGAGAGGAUGAUCAGCCACACUGGAACUGAGACACGGUCCAGACUCCUACGGGAGGCAGCAGUGGGGAAUAUUGGACAAUGGGCGCAAGCCUGAUCCAGCCAUACCGCGUGGGUGAAGAAGGCCUUCGGGUUGUAAAGCCCUUUUGUUGGGAAAGAAAAGCAGCAGGUUAAUACCCCGCUGUUCUGACGGUACCCAAAGAAUAAGCACCGGCUAACUUCGUG
rnacentral:rRNA from 1 species